AACGCGAAGAACCUUACCUACCCUUGACAUCCUGCGAAUCUUACUGAGAGGUAGGAGUGCCGAAAGGAACGCAGAGACAGGUGCUGCAUGGCUGUCGUCAGCUCGUGUUGUGAGAUGUUGGGUUAAGUCCCGUAACGAGCGCAACCCUUGUCCUUAGUUGCCAGCGAGUAAAGUUGGGGACUCUAAGGAGACUGCCGGUGAAGAACCGGAGGAAGGCGGGGACGACGUCAAGUCAUCAUGGCCUUUAUGGGUAGGGCUACACACGUGCUACAAUGGGGCGUACAGAGGGUAGCCAACCAGCGAUGGGGAGCCAAUCUCAAAAAGCGCUUCGUAGUCCGGAUUGGAGUCUGGAACUCGACUCCAUGAAGUUGGAAUCGCUAGUAAUCGCGAAUCAGCAAUGUCGCGGUGAAUACGUUCCCGGGCCUUGUACACACCGAGUAUA
rnacentral:rRNA from 1 species